rnacentral:misc_RNA from 1 species
AACAUCGCGCACCUGCGGGAACCUGCGGAAGGAUCAUUACCGAGUGAGGGCCCUCCGGGUCCAACCUCCCACCCGUGUUUAACGAACCUUGUUGCUUCGGCGGGCCCGCCUCACGGCCGCCGGGGGGCACCCCGCCCCCGGGCCCGCGCCCGCCGAAGACACCUGUGAACGCUGUCUGAAGUUGCAGUCUGAGACACUAGCUCAAUCAGUUAAAACUUUCAACAAUGGAUCUCAGAUCGG